AGACCACUUUCCUGGUGAAAUUCCUCCAGUUCUGAGGAGUGAUCGGAGUCUUUGUUCUAUUAAUGGGGGUAACCCCUGAACCCCAUGUCACCGGCUCGGCUCCUGACUUUCUAUCUCCUCACUUAACAAUUCACUAAAAAAGGGAGAAAAAAAACUCACAAAAAUCUGCAAUUAUUUUCCCAGUCCCUGGAAGGUUCCUCAACGUUUCACGAGCAGAACCUGUUUCAUGUCUCACAUCUUAUUCUUCCACAAUUAGCCUUUCAAACCUGCGGAGGAACAAGCUCGAUUCUUCUUUCGCUCAGCACCGGCUAAAGCGUCCAAUGGCGAUGAAUACAUAGAAGACGGAAACGGGCGAGCGGCGAGGAGCAAAAAAAAAAAAGUAAAAUAAGACCACCAGGGAUUUCACCAUGAACUCUUUAAGCUCCCCUAGACCAUCAGGGAUGUUACCAUUGAAGACCACCAGGGAUGACACCUUAAACUCAUUUUACUCACCUAGACCACUAGGGAUGUCGCCAUGAAAGGUAUAUAUCCCCCUUCAGCCUUUUUACUUUAUGAAUAUAGAGAAGAAUGUAUUCAGAACUCUAUUUACUCCCCUAAUCCACCAUUAAUGUCACCAUUAAAGGUAUAUUUAGUAUAUGUAUAUGGAGAAGGCUGUAGUCAGAACUCUUUUCACUCCCCUAGACCACCAGGGAUGACACCAUGAACUCUUUUUACUGCCCUAGACCACCGGGGAUGUUACCAUUAAAGGUAUAUUUCCACCUUCAGUCUUUUUACUAUAUGGAUAUGGAGAAGGCUGUAUUCAGAACUCUUUUUACUCCCCUAGACCACCAGGGAUGACACCAUGAACUCUUUUCACUCCCCUAGACCACCAGGGAUGUCACCAUUAAAGGUAUAUUUCCCGAUCAAGCAUGUAAUUAAUGUUGGACUUGAUUCAUGUUCUCCACUUUUUACACUUUCAUAAGAUACCAACACCCGCCUAAAGAUUGAUGAUCUCUCUACUGUCACGGAUAGGCCGUUCCACAUGUAUACAGAAGAUAAUCACCUGUU